AUGGCGCCGCCCACCUCCCCCGCGGCCGUCGCGGCGGCCGCCCGCGCGGCGCCCACUCCGGCCGCGGCGCUCGCGCUCUUCAAGUCGGCGCUGUCCGCCGACCCGGCGCUCUCCCCGCUCGCCGUGCUGCCGCACCUCUCCGCCACCCCGUCGCUGCCCCACCUGCUCCUCACCGCCUCCAUCGCCGGCCGCCCGCACACCACCUCGCUCAGCCUCUACUCGCGGCUCAAGUCGCUCUCCCUCCCCAUCCCCACCGCCACGCUCCACCCGCUCCUCUCCUCCCUCCCCUCCGCCCCCGCCUUCGUCCUCUUCGCCGAUAUCUUCCGCCUCCGCCUCCCGCUCUCCGCCACCACCUUCAACAUCAUGUUGCGCCACCUCUGCUCCUCCGGCAAGCCCGCCCGCGCGCUGGAGCUCCUCCGACAGAUGCCCGGCCCCAACGCCGUCACCUACAACACCAUCAUCGCCGGGUUCUGCGCCCGCGGCCGCGUCCAGGCGGGGCUGGAUAUCAUGCGGGAGAUGCGGGAGCGGAGCGGUAUUCCGCCCGACAAGUACACCUACGCCACGGUUAUCUCCGGAUGGUGCAAGGUCGGCAAGGUCGAGGAAGCAGCCAAGGUGUUCGACGAAAUGCUGGCUAAGGGAGAGGUGGAGCCAAAUCCGAUGAUGUACAACGCGCUGAUAGGCGCAUACUGUGACCGGGGAAAUCUGGAGGCCGCGCUGCGUUGCCGGGAAGAAAUGGUAGCGAGGGGGGUUUCCAUGACAGUCGCGACAUACAAUUUGUUUGUGCACGCGUUGUUCAUGGAAGGGCGUGCUGCGGAGGCGCAUGCAUUGGUUGAGGAGAUGGGUGACAAGGGGCUUGCACCAGAUGCGUUCACGUACAAUAUAUUGAUCAACGGUUACUGCAAGGAGGGCAAGGAGAAGAAAGCAAUGAAGAUGUUUGAACAUAUGGCUGCGAAAGGGAUUCGUACGACCGUGGUGACCUAUACGUCUUUGAUAUAUGCCUUGUCCAAGAAGGGGAUGGUCCAGGAGGCUGAUAGUCUGUUCAAUGAGGCUGUGAGGAGAGGCAUCAGGCCUGACCUUGUCAUGUACAAUGCCCUGAUCAAUAGCCACUGCACCGGUGGAGAUAUGGACCGGGCAUUUGAGAUCAUGGGAGAAAUGGAGAAGAAGAGGAUCACACCAGAUGACGUGACAUACAAUACUCUGAUGAGGGGGCUGUGCUUGCUGGGGCGUCUUGAUGAAGCGCGUGGGCUCAUUGACAAAAUGACAAAGAGAGGUAUCAAGCCAGACCUUGUCAGUUACAACACCCUGAUCAGCGGCUACAGCAUGAAGGGUGACAUCAAGGAUGCUCUGAAGGUUCGGGAUGAGAUGAUAGACAAGGGAUUCAACCCAACAGUUAUGACAUAUAAUGCAAUGAUACAAGGGCUCUGCAAGAAUGGCCAAGGAGAGGAUGCAGAGGAGCUGGUGAAAGAAAUGGUGGGCAAUGGCAUCACCCCUGAUGACAGUACAUAUAUUUCACUGAUCGAGGGACUUACCACUGAGGACGAGCGGCUGGCCGCGGAAGAUGCUGUAAAAGCGUGA
rnacentral:rRNA from 1 species